UGAGACGAGUAAAACAAGGACAGUGAGCUGAAGGAG
rnacentral:piRNA from 1 species